rnacentral:rRNA from 1 species
GACGAACGCUGGCGGCGUGCUUAACACAUGCAAGUCGAACGGAAAGGCCCUGCUUUUGUGGGGUGCUCGAGUGGCGAACGGGUGAGUAACACGUGAGUAACCUGCCCUUGACUUUGGGAUAACUUCAGGAAACUGGGGCUAAUACCGGAUAGGAGCUCCUGCUGCAUGGGGGGGGUUGGACAGUUUCGGCGGUUGGGGAUGGACUCGCGGCUUAUCAGCUUGUUGGUGGGGUAGUGGCUUACCAAGGCUUUGACGGGUAGCCGGCCUGAGAGGGUGACCGGCCACAUUGGGACUGAGAUACGGCCCAGACUCCUACGGGAGGCAGCAGUGGGGAAUAUUGCACAAUGGGCGGAAGCCUGAUGCAGCAACGCCGCGUGCGGGAUGAAGGCCUUCGGGUUGUAAACCGCUUUCGCCUGUGACGAAGCGUGAGUGACGGUAAUGGGUAAAGAAGCACCGGCUAACUACGUG